UUGCCACCUUGGUCCCAAAUCCCAUCACAGUAGCACUGUUCUUCCUUCGCAGGCAGCAGCUGCUCCCAAAGCGGCAAACAGGCACUUCCCGUGACCCCGUCUUCCCCAUUGCUUCUCUUCUCGGCAUUCUCGCUCAGCCGGCGGCAGACUACCCCUGAACCCUUGGUACUGCCCUUUCACCUCCUGCCGCUCGCUCCAAAUCUCUUUUCCCAGCGCCGAACUGGCGACGCCGAGAGAGGAGGAACCCCCAUCCACCCUCUUUGGAAUCCGUCGAGGCAAGAUGGCGUUUCCGAACCAACAGACGGUGGAUUACCCUAGCUUCAAGCUCGUGAUCGUUAGGGACGGCGGGACAGGUGACCCUUUCUUUAUUUCUUUACUCUUUCCUUUUCUCUUUCUUUCUUUCCUUUUUUUUGUUUUUUAUAAUUUUCUUUCUUCUUCCUACACUGAUCCAUAGUUUUAGGCGAUUAAGUUCUUUCUUGCCUUCUUGAUCCAUAUUUUUUGGUUGAUUGAUCGGACGAAAGAGAACUGAUUUUUAAGAAGUUCUGUGAUCUGCUGCGGGGAAGACUACCUUCGUCAAGAGACAUCUCAUGGGGGAAUUUGAGAAGAAAUAUGAACCUACCAUUGGUGUCGAAGUCCAUCCCUUGGAUUGCCACACCAACUGUGGAAGGGUCCAGUUCUACUGCUGGGAUACUGCAGGACAGGAGAAGUUUGGUGGGCUUAGGGAUGGAUAUUAAAGAAAGUAAGGAGUACAAUAAGGGCGGAAGCUCUACUGUGGACGUCCACAAGAACUCCCCGAAAUGUCGUGCAAUAUAGAAGGCGACCUAAUCUGCAGCCUUGUUCGCCUUCCGAAAAGCAUGUACUACCUGGUGCUUGCCCAUUUCCACCACCAGCCUGCGUAUCUCACGAAUAACGGGAUGAGUCUCUCUCGAUAUACAUCCGCUCGGCACCGAGCAUCCGCCUCGCAUAUGAUAUACCUUCCCAAGCUGCUCAAAGCUUUGCCUCAACUACGGUAAAACCUGUUGAAUUAAAUCAAAUAUUUUAAAAAUUUGAAAACCAAAUUGGUUAACGGCCAAGUGGCAAGUAUUCGUGCACAAGCAAGGGAGCAAACAUGGAAAAUUCCUAAAGAAAACAAACCAUGACAAGUGUCAUGCAUCCAGCGUAGGAGCAAAUAUGAAAAAAUUUCCAAAGAAAGCAAACCAUGACAAGUGUCAUGCAUCCAGCGCAAGAGCAAGCAUGGAAAGGCCUAUCGAAGAAGGAAGCAUGAACGGCCAAGAUGGAAUAAGCCGAAGAAUCAAAUGAGCACAAAAAGACACAUCAUCAAUCCGCGGGAAGGGAAUCUUCUUCUUUUGACGUGCCUGAGCCUAUAUAAAGGGCUCUAGGGAUCAUUUCAAACUACAAUCAAAAUUUUCUCUUCUCCCUAUUCCAAAAGUCUAGAUAAAAAAGGUUCUAGGGAUCAUUGGGAAGAAAAGAAAUAAAGAAAAAUUUUCUUCUCCUCAUAAUUUUUCUAAGUUUUUUUUGAGGUAUUUGCAAGCGUGAACGUGCUCUUCUUUCUUCCCUGAAGGUGCACUGACGGGGAUGACGUGGUUCUGUAUUGGGUCGUCGUAUCUCUAGGAGAUCUGUGCUAGCAGACCCCGCCUCUUUUUCUUUAUUUUAUUAUUAUAUUGUCAAGUUUUGCUAGUUUAUUCUUCUUAUUUACUGUUUUUGAAUAUUAAAAAUAUUAAAUUUAUCAAUUAUAUUUGUGCAUCUAGGCUAACAAAACCUGAAAUGCGACGACCCUCUGCUACGACCAGACUGCCGCGGUGGUCUUUGAUCACAAAUCCAACACCUCCUAACCGCCCAUCUAACACCACACUACCAUCAAAAUUUAUCUUGAGAAAAACAGAGGCUGGGGGCACCCAAGAAAUAAAAACAAACCUGUUAGGGUUGGGUUUUUUUUUUUUUUUUUUUUUUUUUUUUUUUUUUUCGCGCGCGCGCGCUGUGAACAUGAGCUUUAUUAAGUUGAUGGUUUUCGUGUGAGUGGGUUGUGUACUUUCACCUUGAGAGUCGUCUAUGCAUGCUUCAUUCUGGUCUAUAUUGGGAUUUUGGACAGAAUUCAUAUCAAUCAGGGCCGGCCCAACCCAACCCUUAAGAGUUAUUUGAUGUAUAUAUUUCAUUUUGUAUAA